AAGUCGUAACAAGGUUUCCGUAGGUGAACCUGCGGAAGGAUCAUUAAUGAAGUCUGGGCUUCGGCCCUCUCUCUUCUACACACUUGUGAACUUACACUGUUGCUUUGGCAGGUUUCCGGAGAGGCGAAAGCUUCGAAGGUCAGGCCGAAAGGCGCCUGCCAAGGACAUUUAUCCACCCUUUUUAUAUUGUCUGAUUUUUGUUUUAAACAAAUUAUAAUAAAACUUUCAACAAUGGAUCUCUUGGCUCUGGCAUCGAUGAAGAACGCAGCGAAAUGCGAUAAGUAAUGUGAAUUGCAGAAUUCAGUGAAUCAUCGAAUCUUUGAACGCACAUUGCGCCCUCUGGUAUUCCGGAGGGCAUGCCUGUUUGAGUGUCAUUAAUCUCUCACAAAACCUUUUGGUUUCUGUCGAUGUUGGGAGCUGCGACCCCUCGUGGGACGCUCUCCUUAAAUGUAUUGGUGCGGCCCGCCGCCCGGUUACACAACGUUCUAGGUUCGUCCAACUCGUUGCUCAGCCGGUGCAAUCUUGGUGCUGCACCUAAAGCCCGCCUUGUGCCUUGUGCUCUUGGCUAACUUCAUUUAUUGACCUCAGACCAGGUAGGAAUACGCGCUGAACUUAAGCAUAUCAAUAAGCGCAGGAAAGAAACUAACUAGGAUGCCUUCAGUAACGGCGAGCGAAGCAGGCAUAGCUCAAAUUUGUAAUCUGGCGCCUUUGGCGUCCGAGUUGUAUUUUCUAGAAGCGAGUUCGGCGACAGCUCCUACCCAAGUCCGUUGGAACGCGGCGUCAUGGAGGGUGAGAAUCCCGUGAAUGGUAGGAUGUCUGCUGCUAUGUGAACCGCCUUCGAAGAGUCGAGUUGUUUGGGAAUGCAGCUCUAAAUGGGAGGUAAAUUUCUUCUAAAGCUAAAUAUUGGCCAGAGACCGAUAGCGAACAAGUAGAGUGAUCGAAAGAUGAAAAGAACUUUGAAAAGAGAGUUAAACAGUACGUGAAAUUGUUGAAAGGGAAGCGCUUGAGAUCAGACUUCCUGUCUGGACUGUCCUUGCUUUUGCUUGGGUCAACAGUCCAGGCGUGGAGGCCAGCAUCAGUUUUGACGGCCGGAUAAAGGCCUUGGGAAGGUAGCUCCUCUCGGGGAGUGUUAUAGCCCAUGGUGUAAUACGGCCAGUUGGGACUGAGGACCGCGGCUUUGCCUAGGAUGCUGGCGUAAUGGUCUUAAGCGAC
rnacentral:rRNA from 1 species